rnacentral:rRNA from 1 species
AACGAACGCUGGCGGCGUGGAUAAGACAUGCAAGUCGUACGGGACCAGGUUUGUAGCAAUACAGGCUUGGUUCAGUGGCGAACGGGUGCGUAACACGUGAGCAAUCUGCCGGGAAGUGGGGGAUAGCUCGCCGAAAGGCGAAUUAAUACCGCAUAUGGCCACUCUUUGAUUGAAGGAAAGCCAAAGCAGCAAUGCGCUUCCUGAUGAGCUCGCGGCCUAUCAGCUAGAUGGCGGGGUAACGGCCCACCAUGGCUAUGACGGGUAGCUGGUCUGAGAGGACGACCAGCCACACUGGAACUGAGAUACGGUCCAGACACCUACGGGAGGCUG